AUGAUCUGCUACGACAUGGUGCGCCGCUCCGCCCCCGUCUGGUCCUGCGGCAGCUGCUUCUCCAUCUUCCACCUCCCCUGCAUCCGCAAGUGGGCGCGCUCCCCGGCCUCCGUCUCUGACGCCUCCGCGCCGGCCUCCGACGCCUGGCGCUGCCCCGGCUGCCAGUCCGUGCAGGACGUCCGCGCCCGCGACAUCGCCUACACCUGCUUCUGCCGCCGCCGCCGCGACCCGCCCAACGACCUCUUCCUCACCCCGCACUCCUGCGGCGAGCCCUGCUCCAAGCCCCUCGGCAAGGCGGAUCCUGCGGCCAAGGGCGGUGACGAAGAUGAUGUCGCCACCAGGUGCCCGCACGUAUGCGUCCUGCAGUGCCACCCUGGGCCGUGCCCGCCCUGCAAGGCGUUUGCUCCGGAGCGCCCCUGUCCUUGCGGCAAGCAGUCUAUCACGCGUCGCUGCGCGGACUGGAGUACGCCUGUCACGUGUGGGCAGCGGUGCGAGAAGCUGCUGCCCUGCCGGAGGCACCGCUGCGAGAAGGUCUGCCACACCGGCCCCUGCGGUGACUGCGAGGUUAACUUCCCUGCACAGUGCUUCUGUGGCAAGAAAACAGAGACAUUGUUGUGCGGCGAGAUGGUGCUCAAAGGGAAGCUGUCGGACAAGGAUGGGGUGUUCUCUUGCAGUGAGGUUUGCGGCCACAAUCUGGCAUGUGGCAAUCAUGCCUGCCAGGAUGUUUGCCACCCAGGGCCGUGUGGGGAGUGCGAGCUUGUGCCAGGGAAGGUCACCACAUGCCAUUGUGGCAAGACAAGGCUGCAGGAGAAGAGGGCUAGCUGCUUGGACCCAAUCCCCACCUGUGACAAGGUAUGCGACAAGAGAUUGCCCUGUGGAGUGCAUAGGUGCAAGGUCACGUGUCACGAAGGAGAGUGUCCACCGUGCUUGGUGCGUGUCGAGCAGAGGUGCCGCUGUGGCUCAUCAGGCCAGAUGGUGGAGUGCUACAAGGUAUUGAAGGAAGAGUUCCGUUGCAACAAGCCUUGUGGCCGCAAGAAGAACUGCGGGAGGCACAGGUGCAGUGAGUGCUGUUGCCCGCUGUCGAAGCCAUUUGCUCAGCAUCAAGGUGACAGCAUGGAUCCCCAUUUCUGCCAGAUACCAUGUGGAAAGAAGCUCCGUUGUGGACAGCAUGGUUGCCAGCAUCUCUGCCACAGCGGUCACUGUGACCCUUGCCGCGAGACCAUAUUCCAUGAUCUCACUUGUGCCUGUGGCAGGACAUCUAUUCCGCCACCACAGCCUUGCGGCACACCAACUCCAUCAUGCCCACACCAGUGCAUGGUCCCUCAGCCUUGCGGGCAUCCAGCUUCGCAUCAAUGCCAUUUCGGGGACUGCCCACCUUGCGUUGUGCCAGUCACAAGAGAAUGUGUUGGGGGGCAUGUGAUGUUGAGGAACAUCCCUUGUGGUUCAAAGGAUAUCAGAUGCAACCAGCCCUGUGGAAAGAACCGCCAAUGUGGACUGCAUGCUUGUGCCAGGACUUGCCAUCCUGCCCCAUGUGAUCCACCGCCUGCAAAUGGAGAAGCUAGUUCAAGCUCUGGGGGCAGAGUUUCAUGUGGACAGUUAUGUGGUGUCCCAAGGAGGGAAUGCAAGCACACUUGCAAUGCGCCAUGCCACCCGUCGUCACCUUGCCCAGAUGUGAGAUGUGAACACCGUGUGACUAUUACCUGUUCUUGUGGCCGUAUCACUACAGCUGUGCCCUGCAGUGCUGGUGGAGCCUACAAUGGUGAUAGUGCGUUCGAUAUCUCCGUCAUGCAGCAGCUGCCAAUGCCUCUCCAACCAGUGGAAUCAAAUGGGAAGAGGGUUCCUCUUGGGCAGAGGAAACUUUGUUGUGACGAGGAGUGUGCAAAAAUGGAGAGGAAAAGGGUCCUUGCUGAAGCUUUUGACAUUACCCCGCCCAAUCUGGAUGCACUCCAUUUUGGUGAGAACUCAAAUGCGUCGGAUUUGCUUUCUGAUCUUUUCCGGCGUGAGCCAAAGUGGGUUCUGGCCAUAGAGGAGAGGUGCAAGUUCCUUGUCCUUGGGAAGACAAAGGGGAAUUCUUCAAGCAACAUGAAGUUCCAUGUCUUCUGUCACAUGAUGAAGGACAAGAGAGAUGCUAUCAGGCUCAUUGCAGAUAGGUGGAAGCUUUCUGUCCAGGCAGUUGGGUGGGAACCCAAGCGUUUUAUUACCGUCCAUGUCACACCCAAGUCCAAGGUUCCUGCUCGUGUUCUGGGCUCUAAGCCUGGUGUCCCUGUCUCGGCGUCCCAUCCUUACUUUGAUCCCAUGGUGGACAUGGAUCCGAGGCUCGUCGUUGCAAUGCUGGACCUGCCCAGGGAUGCUGAUGUUAGCUCUCUAGUUUUAAGGUUUGGUGGGGAGUGUGAAUUGGUUUGGCUGAAUGACAAGAAUGCCGCUGCAGUCUUCAGCGAUCCAGCUAGAGCAGCGACAGCGCUGAGGCGGCUGGAUUAUGGGUCUGCUUACCAGGGUGCUGCAAUGUUUUGCCCAAGCAGCAUCACUCAGGCUUCUGUGUCAAGCAAUGUGUGGGUCGGAGCACAGAGAGAUGGAGGGUUGGCUGCAAAGAGCAGUGCCAAUCCAUGGAAGGCCUCUCAAUCUGAGCCCGACCCAUCUGGAGACUGGACAGUGCUCAGUCAUGCUUCAGGGUCAGUGUGGAAACGUGGUGAUACUCCUGCUCAGGUCAUGGGUUCUUCAAACCGCUGGAAUGCUCUGGAGUCUGAUGCUGCAACCAGCUCUGGGCCAACCGACAAACGUAAGCCUCCUCUUCGCACUGAAACAGGAUCCAGCAGUUCUGCUCCCCGCGUUGGUGCUGGAUCCAGCGCAGCACCAAGUGCUGGGCAAUCGGUGAGCAAGCUGCAGCCUGACGUCGAAGUUGAAGACUGGGAAGAAUCGUGUGAAUGA
rnacentral:rRNA from 1 species